GGGUGAUUAGCUCAGUUGGUAGAGCAGCUGACUCUUAAUCAGCGGGUCACAGGUUCGAAUCCUGUAUCACCCA
rnacentral:tRNA from 2 species